rnacentral:rRNA from 1 species
UACGGGAGGCAGCAGUGGGGAAUUUUGGACAAUGGGCGCAAGCCUGAUCCAGCAAUGCCGCGUGAGUGAAGAAGGCCUUCGGGCUGUAAAGCUCUUUUGUCAGGGAAGAAACGGGUGAGGCUAAUAUCCUUGCCUAAUGACGGUACCUGAAGAAUAAGCACCGGCUAACUACGUGCCAGCAGCCGCGGUAAUACGUAGGGUGCAAGCGUUAAUCGGAAUUACUGGGCGUAAAGCGUGCGCAGGCGGUUGUGCAAGACAGAUGUGAAAUCCCCGGGCUUAACCUGGGAAUUGCAUUUUGUGACUGCACGGCUAGAGUGUGUCAGAGGGGGUAGAAUUCCACGUGUAGCAGUGAAAUGCGUAGAUAUGUGGAGGAAUACCGGAUGGGCGAAGGGCAGCCCCUGGGAUAACACUGACGCUCAUGCACGAAAGCGUGGGGA